GAUGAAGAACGCAGCGAAAUGCGAUACUUGGUGUGAAUUGCAGAAUCCCGUGAACCAUCGAGUCUUUGAACGCAAGUUGCGCCCGAAGCCAUUAGGCCGAGGGCACGCCUGCCUGGGCGUCACACGUCGUUGCCCCCCCAUCUACUCCUUCGGGAUUGCGGGGGGCGGAUGAUGGCCUCCCGUGCGCCUCGCCGCGCGGUUGGCAUAAAUGCCAAGUCCUCGGCGACGCACGCCACGACAAUCGGUGGUUGCGAAACCUCGGUUGCCCGUCGUGUGCGGUCGCCGCGCAUCGAGGGCUCGAAAAAAUUGCCGGGUUCCGGCUCGGCUUUCAACGCGACCCCAGGUCAGGCGGGGUUACCCGCUGAAUUUAAGCAUAUCAAUAAGCGGAGGA
rnacentral:misc_RNA from 1 species